GAGAGAGAGAGAGAGAGAGAGAGAGAGAGAGAGAGAGGGAGAAAAAAAAAAAAAGUAGAUAGAUAAGUUGAGAGAGAGAGAGAGAGAGAGAGAGAGAGAGAGAGAGAGAGAGAGAGAGAGAGAGAGAGAGAUAUUAAUAGCAGUUCCUUACAUUUAAAGAGUAAAGGAAGAUGCUUGGGGUGACUAACAACCAAGAAGGAUGAAAACACGGAAUUAAAGUUAACGAUGAGAACUGAGAAAUAAGCUGAAUCACGUCUUGUUAUGGAGAGGAAGGAAGGAGGAGGAGGAGGAGGAGGAGGAGGAGGAGGAUAAACAGUAUAAGCGAUAAGUGGUUAAUAGAGAAUAACAGAUAGAGACGAGUAGUUGCAGGUAGAUGGACAGGUGAAGAGAAGAAUAAUAAGCAUGGCGUGGAGUGGUUGAGAGGGACAGUCACGUAAUGAGGUCACUGUGAGAGCAAGGAGGAGGAGGAGGAGGGGGCGGGGAGAAGGGAGGAGAAGUAGAGUGAAGUAGUAAAGGAGGAGGAGAGUGACGAGGCAGAAGUACGAAAAUGAGCAGGAAGGAAAGAGGAUAGAGGUAGAAGUACAAGGAUGAGCAGGAAGGAGAAGGAGAGUGACGAGGUAGAAGUAAAAGGAUGAGCAGGAAGGAGAAGGAGAGUGACGAGGUAGAAGUACAAGGAUGAGCAGGAAGGAGAAGGAGAGUGACGAGGUAGAAGUACAAGGAUGAGCAGGAAGGAAAGAUGAGAGUGAAGAAGCAGAAGUACAAGUAUGAGCAGGAAGGAAAGAUGAGAGAGUGGAAGCAGAAGUACAAGUAUGAGCAGGAAGGAAAGAGGAGAACGAAGAAGCAGAAGUACAAGGAUGAGCAGGAAGGAGAAGGAGUUAGGCGAGUGAGAAGUACAAGGAUGAGCAGGAAGGAAAGAGGAGAAUGAAGAAGCAGAAGUACAAGGAUGAGCAGGAAGGAAAGAGGAGAAUGAAGAAGCAGAAGUACAAGUAUGAGCAGGAAGGAAAGAGGAGAAUGAAGAAGCAGAAGUACAAGGAUGAGCAGGAAGGAAAGAGGAGAAUGAAGAAGCAGAAGUACAAGGAUGAGCAGGAAGAAAAGAGGAGAGUGACGAGGUAGAAGUACAAGGAUGAGCAGGAAGGAAAGAGGAGAGUGAAGAAGCAGAAGUACAAGGAUGAGCAGGAAGGAAAGAGGAGAAUGAAGAAGCAGAAGUACAAGGAUGAGCAGGAAGGAGAAGGAGAGUGAAGAAGCAGAAGUACAAGGAUGAGCAGGAAGGAAAGAGGAGAGUGAAGAAGCAGAAGUACAAGGAUGAGCAGGAAGGAAAGAGGAGAAUGAAGAAGCAGAAGUACAAGGAUGAGCAGGAAGGAGAAGGAGAGUGACGAGGUAGAAGUACAAGGAUGAGCAGGAAGGAAAGAGGAGAAUGAAGAAGUAGAAGUACAAGGAUGAGCAGGAAGGAAAGAGGAGAAUGAAGAAGCAGAAGUACAAGGAUGAGCAGGAAGAAAGGAUAGGACGAUCAAAAAAUUAUUAGGUGAAAGUAUUAAAAGGAGGAGAAUGAGAAGUAAAAGAGUUCAAUGACGUCAUGAAUGAUAAAAAAGAGAGAAUAGGAGCGAACUAGGAUAAAGAAGAGGAGAAAACCGUAGAAUAUGUAGCGCAAAAAUAACAAGUAAAAGAGAGCAGGGACGUGAUGGAUGAUUAAAAAAAAAGAGAAUAUGAGCGAAUUAGGAUAAAGAAGAAGAGAAAACCGUAGAAUAUGUAGCGCAAAAAUAACAAGUAAAAGAGUUCAAUGACGUGAUGAAUGAUAAAAAAGAGAGAAUAGGAGCGAACUAGGAUAAAGAGGAAGAGAAAACCGGAGAAUAUGUAACGCAAAAAUAACAAGUAAAAGAGAGCAGGGACGUGAUGAAUGAUAAAAAUUAGAGAAUAGGAGCGAACUAGGAUAAAGAGGAAGAGAAAACCGGAGAAUAUGUAGCGCAAAAAUAAGAAGGAAAAGAGAGCAAGGACGUAAUGAAUGAUAAAAAAUAGAGAAUAGGAGCGAACUAGGAUAAAGAGGAAGAGAAAACCGGAGAAUAUGUAGCGCAAAAAAUGAUAAAAAUGAUAAAAAAAAGAGAA